rnacentral:misc_RNA from 1 species
GGAAUAUUGCACAAUGGGGGAAACCCUGAUGCAGCGACGCCGCGUGAGGGAAGAAGGUCUUCGUAUUGUAAACCUCUGUCUUCGGGGACGAUAAUGACGGUACCCGCGGAGGAAGCACCGGCUAACUACGUGCCAGCAGCCGCGGUAAAACGUAGGGUGCUAGCGUUGUCCGGAAUUACUGGGUGUAAAGGGAGCGCAGGCGGUCAUUUAAGUUGGAAGUUAAAUCUACGGGCUCAACCCGUAAGCGCUUUCAAAACUGAGUGACUUGAGUGAAGUAGAGGUAGGCGGAAUUUCCGGUGUAGCGGUGGAAUGCGUAGAUAUCGGAAGGAACACCAGUGGCGAAGGCGGCCUACUGGGCUUUUACUGACGCUGAGGCUCGAAAGCAUGGGUAGCAAACAGGA